GAGUGGCGAACUGGUGAGUAACACGUGGGAAACCUGCCCAGAAGCGGGGGAUAACACCUGGAAACAGAUGCUAAUACCGCAUAACAACUUGGACCGCAUGGUCCGAGUUUGAAAGAUGGCUUCGGCUAUCACUUUUGGAUGGUCCCGCGGCGUAUUAGCUAGAUGGUGAGGUAACGGCUCACCAUGGCAAUGAUACGUAGCCGACCUGAGAGGGUAAUCGGCCACAUUGGGACUGAGACACGGCCCAAACUCCUACGGGAGGCAGCAGUAGGGAAUCUUCCACAAUGGACGAAAGUCUGAUGGAGCAACGCCGCGUGAGUGAAGAAGGGUUUCGGCUCGUAAAACUCUGUUGUUAAAGAAGAACAUAUCUGAGAGUAACUGUUCAGGUAUUGACGGUAUUUAACCAGAAAGCCACGGCUAACUACGUGCCAGCAGCCGCGGUAAUACGUAGGUGGCAAGCGUUGUCCGGAUUUAUUGGGCGUAAAGCGAGCGCAGGCGGUUUUUUAAGUCUGAUGUGAAAGCCUUCGGCUCAACCGAAGAAGUGCAUCGGAAACUGGGAAACUUGAGUGCAGAAGAGGACAGUGGAACUCCAUGUGUAGCGGUGAAAUGCGUAGAUAUAUGGAAGAACACCAGUGGCGAAGGCGGCUGUCUGGUCUGUAACUGACGCUGAGGCUCGAAAGUAUGGGUAGCAAACAGGAUUAGAUACCCUGGUAGUCCAUACCGUAAACGAUGAAUGCUAAGUGUUGGAGGGUUUCCGCCCUUCAGUGCUGCAGCUAACGCAUUAAGCAUUCCGCCUGGGGAGUACGGCCGCAAGGCUGAAACUCAAAGGAAUUGACGGGGGCCCGCACAAGCGGUGGAGCAUGUGGUUUAAUUCGAAGCUACGCGAAGAACCUUACCAGGUCUUGACAUACUAUGCAAAUCUAAGAGAUUAGACGUUCCCUUCGGGGACAUGGAUACAGGUGGUGCAUGGUUGUCGUCAGCUCGUGUCGUGAGAUGUUGGGUUAAGUCCCGCAACGAGCGCAACCCUUAUUAUCAGUUGCCAGCAUUAAGUUGGGCACUCUGGUGAGACUGCCGGUGACAAACCGGAGGAAGGUGGGGAUGACGUCAAAUCAUCAUGCCCCUUAUGACCUGGGCUACACACGUGCUACAAUGGAUGGUACAACGAGUUGCGAACUCGCGAGAGUAAGCUAAUCUCUUAAAGCCAUUCUCAGUUCGGAUUGUAGGCUGCAACUCGCCUACAUGAAGUCGGAAUCGCUAGUAAUCGCGGAUCAGCAUGCCGCGGUGAAUACGUUCCCGGGCCUUGUACACACCGCCCGUCACACCAUGAGAGUUUGUAACACCCAAAGUCGGUGGGGUAACCUUUUAGGAACCAGCCGCCUAAG
rnacentral:rRNA from 1 species